GAUGAACGCUGGCGGCGUGCCUAAUACAUGCAAGUCGAGCGAACGGACGAGAAGCUUGCUUCUCUGAUGUUAGCGGCGGACGGGUGAGUAACACGUGGAUAACCUACCUAUAAGACUGGGAUAACUUCGGGAAACCGGAGCUAAUACCGGAUGAUAUUUUGAACCGCAUGGUUCAAAAGUGAAAGACGGUCUUUCUGUCACUUAUAGAUGGAUCCGCGCUGCAUUAGCUAGUUGGUAAGGUAACGGCUUACCAAGGCAACGAUGCAUAGCCGACCUGAGAGGGUGAUCGGCCACACUGGAACUGAGGCAGGGUCCAGACUCCUACGGGAGGCAGCAGUAGGGAAUCUUCCGCAAGGGGCGAAAGCCUAACGGAGCAACGCCGCGUGAGUGAUGAAGGUCUUCGGAUCGUAAAACUCUGUUAUUAGGGAAGAACAUAUGUGUAAGUAACUGUGCACAUCUUGACGGUACCUAAUCAGAAAGCCACGGCUAACUACGUG
rnacentral:rRNA from 1 species